rnacentral:lncRNA from 1 species
AAAGCUCAGAUAAAAAAGCCGACGGAAACUCUGCGAGUGCUCCGCUGGUGUGGUGGUGCUCGACUAGAGUAGAAGGGAAUCCCCUCUCUCAUCGCCCCCGCCCCGUCUCCCCCGACCGAAACUUCUCCUCCGCUCCGCCACGCCCUCUCACCCCGGUCUAAUUGAAGCGCCAAACGGGCGCGCGCCAUUUGAAUUCCCCGCGAGCUUCCGCCUCCAGCGCCUCCUCAGGCCUCGCCGGGGUGGCCCCUCUGCCGCCCGCCUAGGGUUUCGCUCCGGGCCUCCUUCGCGCGGCCAUAUGGGGGACGCCGCGGCGGCGUCGCCCCG